CCUCUAAUAGGAUCUUGUGAAAGAUCCUUUGGUAAAAAGAAGAAAGGUAAUAACAUCAUCAUCCUUCAUAGAACCUGUCAAAGGAUUCUCAAAAUAGCAGAUAAGUUGUGUACCACAAAACACAUCUAAGAGGCACCAUAAACAAUCACGACAUCUUCAUAGAACCUCAUGAGACUAUAAUGCUACUAGCUUUUUUAUUUCAAGUAAUGAUUGUUAUGUCACAAGUUAAGAAAAUCUACGAUGGUUAGUAUAAAAGCGUGUCUGAUUUUAUCGAUAAGGACCGAUAGCUCAUGAAGCUCGAACAACAGGAGAAAAACCCCAACUUGGCAAUGAGAUUUCUGCCAAGAUUUUGAAAAUUUUAUCAGUAAGAGAAUCAUCCGAAUGCAAUCUCAAAGCGUAAUGGACGAGCUUAAUCUGAAACGUCAUGAAAGUUUGCUCAAGGAAAAGAUUCAGAUGGUAAAAUGUGAUAGCUAGACUUGAUGCUAAAAUAGAUAUUUAUAAUACAUAAAAAUCUCGAUAAAUACGAUAAAUUAGUCAAUCGAUUUCUCGAAAAGCUUGUUCCUUUAGAAAGGGAACCGGAGCCCAGUAACAGGACAUGGAAAUCAGAAACCAUAUCUUCUUCCCCAUUACAUGUAAUACAAUUCUUUGAAAUACUAGCAAUAUGGCAGUAACCACUAAUUGGCACAUUAUCGAUGACAACUUUGAAAUACCAGAUAGAUGUUAGCAACUACUAGGUUUUGCCACGAUGAUAAUGACGCAUAAGCAGUACCUAAAAGAGCAUCAAGAUUUCGAUUCGGGCACAUAUCCAUUACCAAAAUCACUCAGGAAUCCCAAUCUAACAAGCGAAAGAACAUGAGACCCAUCGAAAAUAAUCCGACUCCUACAAGAAAAGAAGUUGCAAAUCGGAGAUCAAUGUUUCCAUGGAAUAAGCAAGAUCAAGCGGAGUCAUCUCACCAGUCACCACUUACCCGCGCCACAGCCGCCUUCCUCCUCUUCUUUGACCCUCUGACAGCGCUCAUGAUCACAACCCCAC
rnacentral:lncRNA from 1 species